rnacentral:rRNA from 1 species
ACUCCUACGGGAGGCAGCAGUGGGGAAUAUUGGACAAUGGGCGAAAGCCUGAUCCAGCCAUGCCGCGUGUGUGAAGAAGGUCUUCGGAUUGUAAAGCACUUUAAGUUGGGAGGAAGGGCAGUAAGUUAAUACCUUGCUGUUUUGACGUUACCAACAGAAUAAGCACCGGCUAACUUCGUGCCAGCAGCCGCGGUAAUACGAAGGGUGCAAGCGUUAAUCGGAAUUACUGGGCGUAAAGCGCGCGUAGGUGGUUCAGCAAGUUGGAUGUGAAAUCCCCCGGGCUCAACCUGGGAACUGCAUCCAAACUACUGAGCUAGAGUACGGUAGAGGUGGUGGAAUUUCCUGUGUAGCGGUGAAAUGCGUAGAUAUAGGAAGGAACACCAGUGGCGAAGGCGACCACCUGGACUGAUACUGACACUGAGGUGCGAAAGCGUGGGAGCAAACAGGAUUAGAUACCCCUGGUAGGAUAGCC